UCUCCUUUUAUCCUCUACAGAUUAGGGUUUCGAUUUUGCUAUCCAGAGCCAAAAGGGUAUCCCUUCGGAAGUCCUUUAAGGUGCUCAUAAUUGUCUACCUCAUUUGGUGUUAGGUCUGGAAAAGGUAACAUGAGCUCCAUACUUUCUUUUUUUUGUAUCCGUCCUAACUCUGUUUUGGGUAAUCCUCUGAGUUUUACUGCCUUGACUAAUUUUACCUGUAUCCUUUUUACUACAGUGAAAUUUCAGGUAACCUGAAGGCUGGGGAUUCAGUUGAGAUUGUUUUGUGAGUUGUUUGGUUAAUGAGGAAGCGAAAGGUGCAGGCUUGGAACAAGUUUGGUUUUGGGGUAUGUAUUUCACUGUGACCUCGCACCACUACUUCCCCAACUGGCUUUGCUACUCCAAUCCAACAUAUGGUAAGUUGCUAGGUCUGAUUCUUCAUUGAAUUGCAAGGAAAUGAGAUGGCUUGACCAUGAUUUGUUUGUGAUUUUGGAUGUGGAUUGUAGGUCAGACCGGGUUUCUAUUGUC
rnacentral:lncRNA from 1 species